rnacentral:lncRNA from 1 species
GUCCACCUCUCAGCCACGGAUAUCCACGCCUGGCUUGGCCUCUAGAGGUGCAGCUAGCAGUGUCUCAGGCAGGUGGCCUUGAGUCUCUAGGGCCAGCUGUGGUCUUUGUGGUGUCACGGUCACUCCUGGCGUGGUGUGGGACAUCAGGGAUCAGCGUUUCUCAGUGAUGCACAAACAGCAGCUCAAGAGCAUCCUCAGGAUUAAAGGCCCUGGAGCUGAAGGCCCAGCCAGGACCAUCUAGUUCAGAUUGGAGACUGAACUGAGCUUCAGAGAGGCUGCUUCACUGUCCUGAGGUCACACAGCUCAUUAGAAGCACACCCAGCGCACAGGACUCCUGUCCCAGCACCUGAGUGUAGAGACGUGAUUGAGGUCAGUCCUCUCAGGUCUGGAUCCUGGCCUCACUCCUGCCAGUGGGUGAGUCCUGUAGCCUGUCUGUGCCUAGGUCAUGAGACAUGAAUAGAAGCUUCCCGUUGGGUGGUUUGAAGGUCUGACUGGGACAGUGAGACCCUGCAGUACAGGGCCCCAUGCUUGAUGCGCCUGCCUGCUGCAAGUGUGUGGGUUGGGGUCCCCACUCCUCCUGCUCCCCGUCGCUCACUUGGUGGACAGUACUGAGCGCCUCCUGUCUUUGGUCCUCAAGAUGAAGACAGAGCCACUUGGAGCUGUCCCCAGCCAGGCCCCAGGGAGACAGAAGGGAAAGGGAAAUACAGG